rnacentral:lncRNA from 10 species
UGCAGUUUCUUCCUAGCAUCGAUGGUCUUUACAAUUUGGCAUGUUUUUGCAGUGGCUGGUACCAGUUGUUCCUUUCUAUGUUUAAUGCUUCCUUCAGGAGUUCUUGUAGGGCAGGCCUGGUGGUGACAGAAUCUCUCAGCAUUUGCUUGUCUGUAAAGUAUUUUAUUUCUCCUUCACUUAUGAAGCUUAGUUUGGCUGGAUAUGAAAUUCUGGGUUGAACAUUCUUUUCUUUAAGAAUGCUGAAUAUUGGCCCCCACUCUCUUCUGGCUUGUAGAGUUUCUGCCAAGAGAUCAGCUGUUAGUCUGAUGGGCUUCCCUUUGUGGGUAACCCGACCUUUCUCUCUGGCUGCCCUUAACAUUUUUGCCUUCAUUUCAACUUUGGUGAAUCUGACAAUUAUGUGUCUUGGAGUUGCUCUUCUCGAGGAGUAUCUUUGUGGCAUUCUCUGUAUUUCCUGAAUUUGAAUGUUGGCCUGCCUUGCUAGGUUGGGGAAGUUCUCCUGGAUAAUAUCCUGCAGAGUGUUUUCCAACUUGGUUCCAUUCUCCCUGUCACUUUCAGGUACACCAAUCAGACGUAGAUUUGGUCUUUUCACAUAGUCCCAUAUUUCUUGGAGGCUUUGUUCAUUUCUUUUUAUUCUUUUUUCUCUAAACUUCUCUUCUCACUUCAUUUCAUUCAUUUGAUCUUCCAUCACUGAUACCCUUUCUUCUAGUUGAUCGAAUCAGCUACUGAAGCUUGUGCAUUCGUCACGUAGUUCUUGUGCCAUGGUUUUCAGCUCCAUCAGGUCCUUUAAGGACUUAUCUGCAUUGGUGAUUCUAGUUAGCCAUUCGUCUAAUCUUUUUUCAAGGUUUUUAACUUCUUUGUGUUGGGUUUGAACUUCCUCCUUUAGCUCGGAGAAAUUCGAUCAUCUGUAGCCUUCUUCUCUCAACUUGUCAAAGUCAUUCUCCAUCCAGCUUUGUUCCAUUGCUGGUGAGGAGCUGCAUUCCUUUGGAGGAGGAGAGAUGCUCUGAUUUUUUGAAUUUUCAGUUUUUCUGCUCUGUUUUUUCCCCUCUUUGUGGUUUUAUCUACCUUUGGUUUUGAUGAUGGUGAUGUACAGAUGGGGUUUUGGUGUGGAUGUCCUCUCUGUUUGUUAGUUUUCCUUCUAACAGUCAGGACCCUCAGCUGCAGGUCUGUUAGAGUUUUCUGGAGGUCCACUCCAGACCCUUUUUGCCUGGGUAUCAGCAGUGGAGGCUGCAGAACAGCAAAUAUUGGUGAACAGCAAAUGUUGCUGCCUGAUCGUUCCUCUGGAAGUUUCAUCUCAGAGGGAUACCCGGCCGUGUGAGGUGUCAAUCUGCCCCUACUGGGGGGUGCCUCCCAGUUAGGCUACUUGGGGGUCAGGGAACCACUUGAGGAGGCAGUCUGUCCGUUCUCAGAUCUCAAGCUCCGUGCUGGGAGAACCACUGCUGUCUUCCAAGCUGUCAGACAGGGACAUUUAAGUCUGCAGAGGUUUCUGCUGCCUUUUGUUUGGCUAUGCCCUGCCCCCAGAGGUGGAGUCUACAGAGGCAGGCAGGCCUCCUUGAGCUGCGGUGAGCUCCACCCAGUUCGAGCUUUGCAGCCGCUUUGUUUACCUACUCAAGCCUCCGCAAUGGUGGGCGCCCCUCCCCCAGCCUCGCUGCCACGUUGCAGUUUGAUCUCAGACUGCUGUGCUAGCAAUCAGUGAGGCUCCGUGGGUGUAGGACCCUGUGAGCCAUGCGCGGGAUAUAAUCUCCUGGUGUGCUGUUUGCUAAGACUGUCGGAAAAGUGCAGUAUUAGGGUGGGAGUGACCCGAUUUUCCAGGUGCUGUUUGUCCCCACUUCCCUUGGCUAGGAAAGGGAAUUCUCUGACUCCUUGUGGUUCCCGGGUGAGGCGAUGCCUCGCCCUGCUUCGGCUCAUGCUCGGUGCUCUGCACCCACUGUCCUGCACCCACUGUCUGACAAUCCCCAGUGAGAUGAACCCGGUACCUCAGUUGGAAAUGGAGAAAUCACCCAUCUUCUGUGUCGCUCAUGCUGGGAGCUGUAGACUGGAGCUGUUCCUAUUCGGCCAUCUUGGAACCACCCCAGAACAUGGCAAUGGCUACAAGUAAGACCGAGUGAUUCGAUUGUGACCACUUUCCUUCUAAGUGCUCCUGUUCUGGUUCUGGGAAAUGAUUUUACAUUUUAAUUUAAACAUAGUUUGUAGGUUCUCAUGCAUAGAUACUCUUAACAAAUGAAUACUUAGCAUUGCUUUUUUCAAGCAACAAAUAUAUUACUUUAGCUUUCUCAGAGUAAGAUUACAAAAUUGUGGAACUUACUGGGUUUUGUAGGAAAAGCUAGUUUCUAAUUAAACUCUUAAUCUAUUUUUAGUGCUGAGUACAUAUUGAGAAGGUAGAAUAUUUCCAGUGGCCUGGUUAGAAAUACUUUUCAUUGCACAACCAACAUGAAAGGAUGACUUAUUUCCAUGCCAGCUGUCCUCAGUUUUCCUGACCUUAAUGGAACAUAUUAGAUCCAGCUGCUGGAAUAUUUACUCUAAUGGAAUAAAGCAGUUGGAUUCUUUCCUUGCCUAUUUUCCAAAGAGGACAGUGUUGACCAAAAUAUGUACUUGUUGGUAGCACUAGAAGAUCUUCAUGAUAGAUACAGUUGACAACUUUUAAAAUAAUUGUCUGUCCCAAUGGGGAAAAAUGUAUAUAAUACACAGAACACUAGGUUAAUAUCCAGAAUGCAGACAUAUUUUCAUAUAUUCUUACAUCUUUCUUAUCCCCAAAUACUGGACUUCACCUUCUUGUCAGUGUAAACCUCCAUUACAGGAAACACUGAGGAAAAGGAAGUACCCACCAGAAAUCAUCUUACAUUGCAUAUAUUCUUGAUUUUAUUUCAGUGACUAUUUUUUUCUCUCCUAGGCUUGGAGUCUUUGGGAUUAAGCUUAAGUCAAGGCAGUUAUGUCUUCAGCAAAGCCUAGUUAAUUUUUUAGACCCUGAGGGCAGUUAGAGCGGAGUCCAAGGCCACAGGGGAAGGGGAUAAGAAAAAAAUACAUAGAGGAAAUGAUAAUCAGAUUUCAUGAAUACAGAGUAAAAACACAGAUCAUAAUGCUGUUAUUCAGUCUCCUUUCCACUGCUCAGCAUUUGAGAUCACUGGGAACCUCAGGACUUCUUCCACAAGCACUGUAUUUGAAGAACACAUUUUCUUUUUAAAGUAUCAUUUUAAAGAAGUAUGGCAGUGCCAACAUAGGCAAAAAUACUUCCAGAUUUACAGGUAUUGGGAGAAUGAUCACUUCAACUCUGCAGAAUGUGCAGGGCAUUAUAAAGUCAUUCAGAUAUUUACCAAGCACCUACUGUGUGCCAGUUGCUAUGCUAGACAAUGGAUUCCUUGUCUAGCCUGGCUUGUCUACAUAGGAUGAAUGAAGAAACUUGCAAAAGCAACUAUAAUCACAACAGAUUUAGCAGCGCCUGAGUCUGUUCCCUGUGCAGCUUAUUGUGUUCACCCCAGAAUUCAAAUACAGCGGCUUCAUCCUAUGAAUGAGACUUCAUCAGAAAACUUAAGCGUAAGAAGCACAAUACCUGUGGCACACCCCGCCACCUGCUGUCUGUCUCCUGUUGUUCCUUCAGCAAGAGGCUGUAGAUCAGAACAGGUGUUUGUUGUAAGGCCAGGACACGAUGUGCAAUUUCCAACUAAUUGAUAAUGGGAAAGCCCAGAAACACGCCCCAGGGGACUGGGGGAGUGGUCGGCUGGUAUUGGCCAAGAUUUCCAGCACCCUGCUAGAAACUCACCAGUAGCAGCCUGGGCCACAAACUAGGCUUUUGAAGCCAACAUUAAGAAAAACAUGAAGGCUUUGGAAGAAGAUGCAUUUGCUUAAGUCUGCCUUCACAAGGGAGCUCCUGACUUCCCUCUGUGACUGUUGAGUCUUAGUACCUGACUCCUGGGCCCAAAAUUGAGGGGAAAGAGGGCACAGGGUCACAACACUGGGCUUGGAGGGGAAGGGGAGAAGAUAGCCAUCAGAGGCCAGGAUUCUUGCCAUCCUUCGGAAACACGCCCUAGCCAGAGGAGGUGCGCUCCCUGCAGUUGGAAUCUCCGGCUGAGGCGAUGAGAGCCCGCCGGGCUCACCUGGCGGUAAGGCCAUCGCAGGUGCGCCUCCUGCAAAGCCUCGAGCUGCACACGCGCCCAGGGGAAAGACGUGACGUUGCUGCACCUGUGGCUAGUCCCUGCGCCUGUGUGUGAGACCUGAGUGGGGCUGUGGAGACCCGAGAGGCUGUGGCUCUUGAGGUGGGUCGGUGGUGGACGUGGCCUUUGCUUCUGUUCUGACCUUGUAGCCUUGGGGCCCCUUGAGACCUUGGAGAACACCUUGCUCACCGCCUCCCUCCGACUGCAGCCAUGUGGACCUAGAGAUGAGGGCAGAGGAUCAGGUAGCGUUCAUGGUUUUUCCCUUGUAACUUAAUGUUUAAAUAAUUUCAGACUUAUAGAAAAGUCCCCAGAAUAGUACAAAGAACUGUGUGUCUGGUACCCG